rnacentral:rRNA from 1 species
UACGAAGGGGGCUAGCGUUGCUCGGAAUUACUGGGCGUAAAGGGCGCGUAGGCGGAUAUUUAAGUUGGGGGUGAAAUCCCGGGGCUCAACCUCGGAAUUGCCUUCAAAACUGGAUAUCUUGAGUUCGGGAGAGGUGAGUGGAACUCCGAGUGUAGAGGUGAAAUUCGUAGAUAUUCGCAAGAACACCAGUGGCGAAGGCGGCUCACUGGCCCGAUACUGACGCUGAGGCACGAAAGCGUGGGGAGCAAACAGG